ACUUACCAAGCGAACCAGUUUCAUUUUCAAAGAGCCCGAGUGCAAAUGCCAUUGCACUUUGCGAAGUGCGUCGUUUAUCCCUCGCAAUGAAUUUAUAGUAUUUAUUCCAAUACUGUUUAUCAAAUACUUCGGGAAAAUGUAAACGCCAGCGUUUCGCGAUCUCAUACUGUUCGUGCUCCCCGCGUGGAGAUAAUUCACUGGAUUUUGCGACAUUCCACGCGAGCCAUCUCUUCCAUGGUAGCGUCAGGUUUUUGUAACGAAAUGGUGAACUUGUUUUGUAAACGUCGUCUAGUUUUUUUAAAAGCUUCUUUAUCUUUUCCCGAUCACCACUGCUAGGAAAUCGCGAACCGUGUCGCGAGAUGUAAUCGAUAUGAACUGGCCUGCAUCCUUUCGGGUAUUCUGGCGAAAGUUUUGAUGGCUGGUAGUUAUAAACUGUUUUGCUUCCGAAAUAAAGCGACUUCGACUGUUCCGUUUCUUCAAAAUACUGCGCGAGAAAUAGCAGGAGAAUGAUAUGAAAGAUCGCCAUAUUUUUUAGACUUUAUCUUCGAAGCGACCGCUUGAGUAAACAAAUCGAUA